rnacentral:ncRNA from 1 species
AAUAUCGACGCGAAAUCGAUAGCAAACAAGUACCGUGAGGGAAAGUUGCAAAGAACUUUGAAGAGAGAGUUCAAGAGAACGUGAAAUCGCUGAAGUGGAACCGGAGAGAGUUAACAUAACUUGGUAGCUAUAUCCUCUAAAGUCGCUUAACUGUGGCUCUGGGGGGUGGACGCUACCUGUUGUUGCACUGACUGCGUUGAUUGUGCUUUCCGAACAGUAUAGUGUUGCCCACUUUGUGGUGUCUUGCUUUCUGGGAGGUUUGUCAUAAUUAACGUAAAGCCAAUUCCCUUUGGAGUCAGUGUGAAAGUUAACCACCUUUCCGACCCGUCUUGAAACACGGACCGAGGAGUGUAAUUUAUACGCGAGUCAAGGGGUGGUGAAAACCCUAGGGGCGGAAUGAAAGUAAAGGCCGGUUAACCGGUUGACAUGGGAUCCGCUCUUCGGAGCGGCGCGACCAUGGCCCUGUCUUGUCUGCUUGCAGAUGGGCAGCGGUAGAGCGUAUAGUUUGCGACCCGAAAGAUGGUGAACUAUGCUUGAGCAGGACGAAGCCAGAGGAAACUCUGGUGGAAGUCCGUAUCGGUUACUGACGUGCAAAUCGAUCGAUAGACUUGGGUAUAGGGGCGAAAGACUAAUCGAACCGUCUAGUAGCUGGUUCCCUCCGAAGUUUCCCCCAGGAUAGCUGGAGUAGUGGUGCGUGGUUAUAUCCGGUAAAGCGAAUGAUUAGAGGACUUGGGGGCGAAACGAUCUCAACCUAUUCUCAAACUUUCAAUGGGUAUGAUGUCUCGGUUUCUUUAUUGAACUGUUGACAUGAACGUGUGCUCCAAGUGGGCCAUUUUUGGUAAGCAGAACUGGCGCUGUGGGAUGAACCAAACGCUGGGUUAAGGUGCCUAACUUUUCUCUCAUGAGACCCCAUAAAAGGCGUUGGUUGAUAUAGACAGCAGGACGGUGGCCAUGGAAGUCGGUACCCGCUAAGGAGUGUGUAACAACUCACCUGCCGAAUCAACUAGCCCUGAAAAUGGAUGGCGCUUGAGCGAAAGA